GAUGAACGCUGGCGGCGUGCCUAAUACAUGCAAGUCGAGCGAACAGACGAGGAGCUUGCUCCUCUGACGUUAGCGGCGGACGGGUGAGUAACACGUGGAUAACCUACCUAUAAGACUGGGAUAACUUCGGGAAACCGGAGCUAAUACCGGAUAAUAUAUUGAACCGCAUGGUUCAAUAGUGAAAGACGGUUUUGCUGUCACUUAUAGAUGGAUCCGCGCCGGAUUAGCUAGUUGGUAAGGUAACGGCUUACCAAGGCAACGAUGCGUAGCCGACCUGAGAGGGUGAUCGGCCACACUGGAACUGAGACACGGUCCAGACUCCUACGGGAGGCAGCAGUAGGGAAUCUUCCGCAAUGGGCGAAAGCCUGACGGAGCAACGCCGCGUGAGUGAUGAAGGUCUUCGGAUCGUAAAACGCUGUUAUUAGGGAAGAACAAAUGUGUAAGUAACUAUGCACGUCUUGACGGUACCUAAUCAGAAAGCCACGGCUAACUACGUG
rnacentral:rRNA from 1 species